rnacentral:rRNA from 1 species
AGGAUUAGAUACCCUGGUAGUCCAUGCCGUAAACGUUGGGCACUAGGUGUGGGGGACAUUCCACGUUCUCCGCGCCGUAGCUAACGCAUUAAGUGCCCCGCCUGGGGAGUACGGCCGCAAGGCUAAAACUCAAAGGAAUUGACGGGGGCCCGCACAAGCGGCGGAGCAUGCGGAUUAAUUCGAUGCAACGCGAAGAACCUUACCAAGGCUUGACAUUCACCGGACCGCCUCAGAGAUGGGGUUUCCCUUCGGGGUCGGUGGACAGGUGGUGCAUGGUUGUCGUCAGCUCGUGUCGUGAGAUGUUGGGUUAAGUCCCGCAACGAGCGCAACCCUCGUUCUAUGUUGCCAGCACGUGAUGGUGGGGACUCAUAGGAGACUGCCGGGGUCAACUCGGAGGAAGGUGGGGAUGACGUCAAAUCAUCAUGCCCCUUAUGUCUUGGGCUUCACGCAUGCUACAAUGGCCGGUACAAAGGGUUGCGAUACUGUGAGGUGGAGCUAAUCCCAAAAAGCCGGUCUCAGUUCGGAUUGAGGUCUGCAACUGAGACCUCAUGAAGUCGAAUUCGUCUAGUAAUCG